AGGGCGGGGCGGUUAGUUACGGAGCUCCGCAGCCUUGGAGUUCUGACUACCUCGGUGUAGUUACCGCUUAAAGUCUGGUCACCGAAGAGUGCAGCUUUGUCUAAAAAAUGGAAGCAACUGAAGAAGGUGGGACUUUAAAAUCUUUGGAAUUAUAUACAUGGCUGAAAUUUUAUGACGCUGGAACUUGAUUUGAGCCUGGGGUCUUGGAUCCCAAAUCACCACCAGGAUGACACUAAGUUUCUUAGGUUCUUUUUCUUCCUUCAGCAAGUUCAGAGAAGCAGACGUUUCCUCUGGCCUGGAGAUAGGAGUCAGUCUCGGCUUCUUUGCUUGGGGUGGAAGUGAAGACUGGUGUUUGGGGACCAUGCUGAGAGAAAAGCCAAGAAUCCACCCAAGGGAAGAGGCAUGUACCAGGAACUCUGAGAAUGAGAAAGGUAAAUCUUUAAUACAUAAUGAGACCUAUGACCUCAGCCAUUUGGCCAUCAUAUCCCAGGAUCAACAUCAAAAGCCUAUGGAUCAGGGCUUCCCUGGUGGCACAGUGGUUGGGAGUCCGCCUGCCGAUGCAGGGGACACGGGUUCGUGCCCCGGUCUGGGAGAAUCCCACAUGCCACGGAGCGGCUGGGCCUGUGAGCUAUGGCCGCUGGGCCUGCGUGUCCGGAGCCUGUGCUCCGC